CAUCCAUCGAGACCGGCGGAGGGACAGGCCCUUUGAUGCCGGGGCAACCUGAUGGGAUCCGCGCACCGUGCGGACCCCCGUCGCGGUGCCAAGUCCUGCGGGGACCUGCGCGUCCACCGGAAGAUGGUCA
rnacentral:ncRNA from 2 species